GAUGAACGCUGGCGGCGUGCCUAAUACAUGCAAGUCGAGCGAACGGACGAGAAGCUUGCUUUUCUGAUUUUAGCGGCGGACGGGUGAGUAACACGUGGAUAACCUACCUAUAAGACUGGGAUAACUUCGGGAAACCGGAGCUAAUACCGGAUAAUAUUUUGAACCGCAUGGUUCAAAAGUGAAAGACGGUCUUGCUGUCACUUAUAGAUGGAUCCGCGCUGCAUUAGCUAGUUGGUAAGGUAACGGCUUACCAAGGCAACGAUGCAUAGCCGACCUGAGAGGGUGAUCGGCCACACUGGAACUGAGACACGGUCCAGACUCCUACGGGAGGCAGCAGUAGGGAAUCUUCCGCAAUGGGCGAAAGCCUGACGGAGCAACGCCGCGUGAGUGAUGAAGGUCUUCGGAUCGUAAAACUCUGUUAUUAGGGAAGAACAUAUGUGUAAGUAACUGUGCACAUCUUGACGGUACCUAAUCAGAAAGCCACGGCUAACUACGUG
rnacentral:rRNA from 1 species